UUUGGUUUGAUUUUGAUUUCUCGUUAAUUUUUUUCGAAUGUUUAGAGUUUGAAUUUUUAGAGUCUUGAAUUUUUUUUCGAAUUUCAUUUGAUUUCGUCAAUUUUUGGUUUGCAUUUUUAGAGUCAGAAUUUCGUGAACUGUGGGGUUUUUUAGUCUGAAAUUUGUGGGAUUUUUACGGUCUAAUUUGUGUAUUUUGUUGGUGGUGGUGGUGGUAAGUGGCGGUGGUGGUGUGAAUUUUCAUGGGUAGAGGUUUUAUGGGGAGGCUUUUGUGGUGGGCAGGUGGCAAUUCGUGGUGGUUGGGUGAGAUUUAUAGGAGUGAAGGUGGUGUGUUCGGGGUGGCUGGUGGUGUUGUAAGGUGGGUAGUGGUGGUGGGGUUGGCUGUGAAGUAUAGGUAAGGUAAUAUUUUUUGUUUUUUAUUUUAAUUUUAGCGACGACCAUAAGCGGUCACUAAAAUCAAGAUUUGCAACCGCCGCUUAAAACGAUCGCAAUAAUAAAAUCUGCGCCCGUUUUCCAAAUGAUCAUUGAAAAUAUUAAAAACGGUCGCAAAAAAUCUGCGACUGUCAGUCGGUCGUGAUUAUGUUUUUUUGCCGACCGUUGACGGUCGCAAUUAAUUUUGACGACCGUUUUUACUAUUUUCAACAACCGUCAGAGACGGUCGCGAUUUGGCCUAAUUUUAGUACUGAGUUUUUUGUUUUCUUUUGUUGUUUUAAUCUGCUUUGUUUCAAUCUUUAUGGCAAGUUUUGAGGAACUAAGGGGUAUGUUGUGUAUUUCACAUGUUGAAGAGAAUGAUGUCUCUUCCCAUGAGUUAGAGUUUUCAGUUGGGCAGUUGGAGGAACCUUUUGGGAUUCUCAAUUUUGUUAAGAGAUUAAAAGAUGAGGGAAACAUGUUCUACAAGCAAAAUCAAAUGGGGUCUGCUAUUGCAAAAUACUCUAUUGCUCUUAAAAUGUUGUCCUUUGCUUCAGUCUGUAAUGAAGAGGAAAAAUUGAUGUUUUCGGGGGCACUGAUGUGUCCCUUAAUCUAAACUUGGGUGCUUGCUUCAUCAAGGUAAAAGACUAUGAUAGAGUGGGUCAAUUAUGUUCAGCGGUUUUGUGUUUUGAUACUACUAAUGUGAAAGCUUACUAUAGAAGGGCGAUUGCUGCAUUAGGGCUCAAUAAACAAACCUUAGCUUUCAUGGACCUUGCACAAGCCCUUAAAAUAGAUCCUAAUAAUUGUGAGUCCCAACAAAAACUAAAGGAGGUGAUAUCCUUAUUGGGUUUGGGUUGGUUUCCGAAUUUUGUUGAUGAGGCACUAGCAGUAACAAGUAAAGAUGAGAAGUUUAGAGAUUAUGUUCGUUGUGGGAAGGAAGAUAAUGGUAGGAAGUAAUUAAAAAAAGGGAAAAGAAAGGAAGGAGAUGGUCGUGAUGAUGGUCAUGUUCGUAGGUGUUCAAGUGUGAAAAACGACACCAAAAAGGAAAAAGACGUUGAUGGCAAUUCUUUGGAUUUGGAGAGUAAAGUCAAGCCUACCAACCAAGAUCUGAGGCCUAAUGUUAUUGAUAACAAUUGUGUUUUGAAGGGCACUUCAAAAACAAAAAACCCAAAUCCAACAGGGUCAAGUUUUCGGUUCUCAAGCCGGAAGCAAAAUGAUUCCUAUUUGAAUCUCACUCCAACAAUGUAUGGAGCGAUUUCCAAAGGGAAAACAAUCCAAUGCUUCUGUUCUCGCCAAAAGAAUUUCAUUACCAUCCGAGUAGCCAAUCGUUUAAAUAAGAUGGAUAGUGGUGAAAUUCAAGAAGUUUCUCCACCAAUGGAGUUUAGUCACCCCCCUUGUGGAAGGGCACGAUAGUUGUGAAGCAACUCCAGACUUGAUGCAAGAAGAUCCAUCCAUAUGUAUGGCAGGUCACGAGUCAUCAUGUGAAGCUGCGUCAAUACUCCUACCAUUUUUGCCUUUUUCUUACCCUCUGCAGACUCACGUUCACCUAAGAACUUCCUCCACUGCAUUAUUGUUGGGUUAAGCGGAAGAACAACAUUAUGUCCCACCGAGUACACUUGUUUUCCUAAACGUAAGAAGUUAUUGCUCCAACCCCCAAUGUUUUAUAGUGUAAUUUUGCUUUCUUUACUUAGUUUAGGUUGUAAUCAUGCUUUUCAUUAAUAGUACUCUUUGU